CCAUUUCUACCAUUUCUACUUGUGUUGAUGAAACGAAGUUCAAGACCUUGACAUUGGACAAAGGUGAAAGCGAAUGUUUCUUUUUCAUGAUUCCUAGCACCUGGUAUAUACAACAAAUAAGUUAGAUUGUAAUACAAAAUGGAGUUCAUUUCCCUUAAGAACAUGAACAUUUAUACAAAAACGGGUUCAAUUAAAUACAAGUUCAAUAGCUUCUUAUCAUUUAGUGGCGUUUAGGGUGAUAAAUUAAAUUAAAAACAAGAAACCUAACCUUGAUGCUCCAAUCAGAUAAUGUGACAGUUUCAACUAGUCGGAUGGACGGAAGAAUUUGCCCCAGUGCUUCCUCGAGCAAAUAGUCAUACUUCAUGCUUCCAAAACUAUAAAAACUAAGAUCUGCAUCACUCAAAGAGGAGACAUCCAACAACACACACUUGCUAUAUGGAAUCCCCACCAUCUUCAACCUUUCAAGAUUUGGAGUCCAAAUUUUCAGCACUG
rnacentral:lncRNA from 1 species